CCAAACGCUCAGUUUCACAAUUUGCCACCAGGGAUUAAUGUCUAAUCCAUUAUUGUCCUUAGUUAUGUUAUUUAUAGUGCUGCCAUAAAACCACUUGCCCUGAUCACACAAGCCAAUAGUAGGUCCGUUACAUUCCUAGAUUUCCGGUGGGAAAGGCAAAACCGUGAAAAGAAAAAGACCAGUUAUUGUGAGCCACUUGACAAUUACUACUGGGUAAUCGGUCAAUUACUUAUGACUAGCUAGUUAUCUAUAGAGCGUUCGCAAUACCUUAUCCGUUACGAGGCACAUAGCUCAUUAACACGUCAUUCGCACUUUAGACUUGCUCUAAAUAGACUUCUCAUAGGACUUCUAGGCGAGCCUGAAUUCGAUUUAUUUUUGCGAGUAAAGCAAUCGAGCACGCUGCGGGAGGGAAAUCGUUGUUUUAUAAUGAUGAGAUGAGACGUUUUAAAGGGCUACGUAUAACUGGAGUGGUGGUGUUUACCAAAGAAGCCAGGAAUCUCAUGCAAAAUCGUAUUUUACGUCAAAGAAGCAUCAGACUCGCACGAAUUGCCUAGUGGUAACUCCUUUGGGGGGAGGAGAAGGGCGGACAAACAUACCCGACUAAUACGGAUACGGUAAGACAUUUCAGGAGUUUAAUUCAUUUCCCCCGUCCCAUUAAUAGUUUUUCGAAUUUUACAAUUUACUUUACAUUCCCCGUAGAUACUACAGAUACUACAAUGUUUAUAUUCCUAGAGCUUGCAAGGAAUAGGUGGUCUAUUUAACAAGAACGUAGAAUAAAUAUCGCCAUUAGCACAGCUCACUUUUAAAUACAACACUUUUAGUCCAGCAAAGAAGACUAUAUUGCUAAUCAUAUUUCCACAUAAUUUGAUGUGUAAACUUUGUGUACAGGAACAUAAUUCUGUUGUUAACAUGGAAAUUUUCGCGCGCAUCUAAAAGUUGUUGCACAAUACACACCCCCUCAGGGUCUGACAACCACCCCCUCAGGGUCUGACGACCACCCCCUCAGGGUCUGACGACCACCCUCUCAGGGUCUGACCACCACCCUCUCAGGGUCUGACCACCACCCUCUCAGGGUCUGACGACCACCCUCUCAGGGUCUGACCACCACCCUCUCAGGGUCUGACAACCACCCUCUCAGGAUCUGACGGCCACCCUCUCAGGGUCUGACGGCCACCCUCUCAGGGUCUGACGGCCACCCUCUCAGGGUCUGACGACCACCCUCUUAGAAUAUGACGACCACCCUCUCAGGGUCUGACGAACAACCUCUCAGGGUCUAACCUUUUGUACCAAUACGCCACCGAAAUAUUCUAAACAUUGGACAAAAUAAGCGCGAACAGAAGCGCGAAAAUAACCACAUUUACAUAUUAGUCAGGCAUUUUUUAGCCAGUGUAUCCACUUAUACUAUUAGCUCUUAUUUCCCUGCCAUUGAAUUUAGACAAUAUCAGGAUUUGGACUUUUCAAGUUAGACAACAACGAAAACGGCAUCAGAGUUCUACUGUAUCGAGAUCCUCAAAGGCAAUAAACCAAAAAAAAAAAAAAACUGGUCGUCUUCGUUUACCAGAGUAAUAAAUAUGGUUCACCAAAAACUGGUAUUUGAAAUAUCAGGCAGAAUCGAUUAUCAAUUUUAAGUGAGCUAGAUCCUAAAA